rnacentral:rRNA from 1 species
CCUACGGGCGGCAGCAGUGAGGAAUAUUGGUCAAUGGGCGGGAGCCUGAACCAGCCAAGUCGCGUGAGGGAAGACGGUCCUACGGAUUGUAAACCUCUUUUGCCGGGGAGCAACGGGGUCCUUGCGAGGGCCCGAUGAGAGUACCCGGAGACAAAGCAUCGGCUAACUCCGUGCCAGCAGCGGCGGUAAUAAGGAGGAUGCGAGCGUUCGUCGGAUGGAUUGGGUUUACAGGGUGCGUAGGCGGGCUGUUAAGUCAGCGUUAAAGUGUCGGGGGUCAACCCCGGACUGCCGUUGAAACUGGCGGCCUCGAGUGGGCGAGAGGUAGGCGGAAUGCGUGGUGUAGCGGUGAAAUGCAUAGAUAUCACGAAGAACUCCGAUUGCGAAGGCGGCAUACCGGCGCCCGACUGACGCUGAGGCACGAAAGCGUGGGUAUCGAACAGGAUUAGAUACCCUAGUAGUC